CACAGAAAUGGCAAAGGAUGAGGCUGUUAUAUCCCUUGAUUAAUUUGUUGCUUAAAGCUCUUGAUAGUGUUUAAUUUUUCCUUCAUGUAUUUUGGGAUUCAGCUCAAAUAGCCUGACACGCCAAAUGUGGCCCAUCCGACGACUCAGAGAUGAAGUGUGACCCUUUCUCUGGGUGUAAUUAUUCCAAAGACUGCAAAAUGUCAGAAUGUGUGAACCACCACGGCAGCCAUUGUUCCGUGAAAUACCCUGAAGCAACAAACCCCUGCAAGACAUCAAGAGAGGAAAAAGCCGCACACCUUUUGAGAGGCACAGUCACUUUUGACUACCGGGAAUUUGAAGAAAAUAAUAUGGCAACGUCACUUCCAAAGAUGUGCUGAUGUUGGAUGUCUUGGAGGUGAAUGUCAAGCUGAGUUUCCCUCUCGGACUUAAUGCGACCAAACACUGCGGCUCAAGCACCACACCCUCCUUUGUCUCCAUCUCCCACUCUGCGCUGUGUGGCCGUCCUACCUUUCUCCAUUUGAAAUCUCAUCUCGGGAUGAUUAGGGAGUAAAUGGAACGAAGGGACGGAACGCCGGCCGAAACACGUCUGUCGGCUUAUUUGCAUUUCCUCCAUUCUGCAGUAUAGCGGCGGUCAGAGAGCUUUCGAAUUGAUGUUCCGAAGAACGCGAUGCUUUUCUUUUGGCUUAAGUGAAACAAAUGCGGUCCAUUCCCAAGACUGGGUACAGAUAAAGUGAGGGAAAUGAGAGCAUAGUUUCCCUCUCCUGCAUCCCUCAUCUCUUUGUGUUCCCAAGUGUCUCUUUUUGAAAACGUCUGGCUCAUUAUCGAGGAAACAAUUGCCCCCGCGGCCAAGCACGCAGAGUAACAAGCUCCCUGCCAAGAUAACCGCAACCGGGGCCCGAACGGGAGGGCACCGCCGCAGUGAUAAAUGAGCCAGAUGCGGUGGCAGGAGGGGCGGUGGUUGGCACCGGGAACCCUCAUUCUCCCGCCGCCUGGCAGCCGGUGACAUGGCUGCACUCAAAGAUUGGUCACGACAGCCUCUCACAAUCACAGACGGUGAUGAAAUCUUCCAGACCACACUGUAAGCGCUCGGAACAAUGGAGGAAAAAAGUGCAACGCUUCCAGGUUUUAUUUCCCAAACGAUUCCACUGUUUUUCUUCUUGGUGCAACGCAACAACCGACCCUCCUGCAGCUAAGCUUCUCCCUUGGUAUCACCUGCAUUUUUAAUACUUUGGAAAACACAUGCUGUGCAUGUGUUCCCAUCCUGCAAGCCAUCUCGCAAUUGGUUAACGUUGUCAGUCAGAACAAAUCAUAGUGAUUGUACAGUAGUUGCAGAAACUGACAUUUUUGGAUGCUUCUACCAGACUAAAGUAGUCAAGCUUUCUGUCCUUGCCCAACAAACUCAAGGGGAGUUUUUAUGAUGCCUGGAUUGCACUUUACAAGUGGAAGUGCUGGCAUGGGAGCAAUUUCUCCAAUCAAACACCAGUAAUCAUAGUCUCAAGGUUGUUCCGAGGAAGAAAGCUGCAGGGUUUAUUCUGUCGAGCACAUGUAAUCGUUGCAUGAAAAUGAAUAUGUUUUCCCCCGCAAAUGCACUCGCGUUCAGGAUCGUAGUCUUGAUCACGCCUCAAUGUGGGCCUCCGUGUUUACUGCUUCAGUUGCAUACCGGCUCUAAUGUUUUCCACGAAAGUUGAAAAUGACCAUUUUGCAACGGGGCGCAUGAAGAAUGAGGACGGCCACGUUUCCACGCGCCGCGCCGCUGAUUGAGGUUUGCACGGACGAACAGCUUUCCUAAUUGCACUUCCUAAUGAAAAGGAAACGAGGCGUGUCACCGCUAUUUCCGCGCAAGCGAGCCACUUUUGGAGUACACGGCCAUUUACUGCAAAAGAGACAGA